GAUGAACGCUGGCGGCGUGCCUAAUACAUGCAAGUCGAGCGAAUGGAUUAAGAGCUUGCUCUUAUGAAGUUAGCGGCGGACGGGUGAGUAACACGUGGGUAACCUGCCCAUAAGACUGGGAUAACUCCGGGAAACCGGGGCUAAUACCGGAUAACAUUUUGAACCGCAUGGUUCGAAAUUGAAAGGCGGCUUCGGCUGUCACUUAUGGAUGGACCCGCGUCGCAUUAGCUAGUUGGUGAGGUAACGGCUCACCAAGGCAACGAGGCGUAGCCGCACUGAGAGGGUGAUCGGCCACACUGGGACUGGAACACGGCCCAGACUCCUACGGGAGGCAGCAGUAGGGAAUCUUCCGCAGUGGACGAAAGUCUGACGGAGCCACGCCGCGUGAGUGAUGAAGGCUUUCGGGUCGUAAAACUCUGUUGUUAGGGAAGAACAAGUGCUAGUCGAACAAGCUGGCACCUAGACGGUACCUAACCAGAAAGCCACGGCUAACUACGUGCCAGCCGCCGCCGUAA
rnacentral:rRNA from 1 species